UCCCGAAUAGCUCAGUUGGUUAGAGCAUCUGACUGUUAAUCAGAGGGUCGCUGGUUCAAGUCCAGCUUCGGGAG
rnacentral:tRNA from 2 species